CCCUUAGAUGUUCUGGGCCGCACGCGCGCUACACUGACUGGUGCAACAAGUGUCGCUCCUUGGCCGAUAGGCCUGGCAAUCUUUGAACGCUGGUCGUGAUGGGGAUAGACUUUUGCAAUUUUUGGUCUUCAACGAGGAAUUCCUAGUAAACGCAAGUCAUCAACUUGCAUUGAUUACGUCCCUGCCCUUUGUACACACCGCCCGUCGCACCUACCGAUUGAAUGGUCCGGUGAAGCCUCCGGAUUGGCGCGCACCUCGGUGCCGCCGAGAAGUUGGCUAAACCUUACCAUUUAGAGGAAGGUGAANUCGUANCA
rnacentral:rRNA from 1 species